rnacentral:rRNA from 1 species
UACGAAGGGGGCUAGCGUUGUUCGGAAUUACUGGGCGUAAAGAGCUCGUAGGCGGUGUGUCGCGUCGGCCGUGAAAACCUGCAGCUUAACUGUGGGCGUGCGGUCGAUACGGGCAUCACUGGAGUUCGGCAGGGGAGACUGGAAUUCCUGGUGUAGCGGUGAAAUGCGCAGAUAUCAGGAGGAACACCGGUGGCGAAGGCGGGUCUCUGGGCCGAUACUGACGCUGAGGAGCGAAAGCGUGGGGAGCAAACAGG